UACGGAGGGUGCGAGCGUUGUCCGGAAUCACUGGGCGUAAAGGGCGCGUAGGCGGCCUGAUAAGUCGGGGGUGAAAUCCUGCGGCUUAACCGCAGAGCUGCCUUCUAAACUGUCAGGCUGGAGCACAGUAGAGGCAGGUGGAAUUCCCGGUGUAGCGGUGGAAUGCGUAGAGAUCGGGAAGAACAUCAGUGGCGAAGGCGGCCUGCUGGGCUGUUGCUGACGCUGAGGCGCGACAGCGUGGGGAGCAAACAGG
rnacentral:rRNA from 1 species